CCCUAUAUAAUAGUACCUAAUACCUAAAUAGUGACACACCUAAAAAAUAUUAGAUCCACCGUUUCUAUCAAAGGAGGACCCAAAAACCUUUCUUCUUCCUCUUGAAGGAAAACAACAGAUCUUCCUCAUGAGGGCAGCUCCAAACAACAACCAAAAGUCCUCUUUUCCUCCAUGAAUAAGCCUUGAAAACUCCAUAAAAAACCAGCAAAAAGAGCUCCAUUUUUUCACUAAAAACAACCGUUCAAACAGCUAUGAGAAUCCCUCUAUCUCCAUCAAAACCGCAGCAUCCAUCAUCCUCAAUAAAGGGCUGCACAAACCUGCUACAAUCAGCAUAAAAACAGCCCUGAAACUAGCUUCUUUCGAGCUAAAAUCAACUUUAAAACGUAGCUGAAAUCUCUGUCCGAAACAUCUCCAAAACUGAGUCGUGAAGCCAUUCCGAAACCACCAAAAAUCUACUGUGAAUUUACUGAAAAAUCAGUCCAAAAAACCCCAGCAAAUCACUUCAUUUUCAGCUCCAAACCGCUGCAAAAAACACAGCAGUUCGCCUCCAAAGAUCAGCCCUAGAACCCAUGAGAGUUAGCCCCAAAAUUCAGCUAGAACCUGAUGCAAAAACAGCCAAAAUCAGCGCACAAACACAGUAGCUCCAAGGUUGAGCUCGAGUCCGCCGGCGAGUUUAGGUUCGAGCGAGCUUCGGUCUUGGUUCGUGAGUCCCAAACAAGUUCUAUUGAUAUGAUUGCUAUAGAGACUUUGUACUGAUUUUAACAUUGGGAAAUAGAUUGGGUGAAGUUCUCUUAAAAAGGUUAGUUUAUUUGUCUAUUGUUUCCAUAUUACUUUUUGCUUAGUCAUUUUCUCUUCUCAAGUAAAUGUUCUGUUUCUCCUGAUGUGCUUGGUCUUUUAGUUGCCUAAGUUUCAUUUAAUUAAGCUUUCUAUCUCUCUUUAAUUAACUAUAGAGAUCGAGUGAUUGGUAUUGCUUAAUUAAAAUUCCAAUUAGUCAUGCUUUGUAAGAAUAAUGGUUAGUUGGGCAGUAUGCGAAGGCCAAUUAAGAACAACAAAUUUGGGCUUUAACAUUUAUUUAUGCAAUGGUAUUAAAUGAUAGCUUUAGCAAAAGGAUUUAAGCCAAAAUCUUGUGCAAAUGGAUUUCAAGGUAGUAGACCUUCCAAGUUCGAGUGGGCCGCUUGGUUAGGAGCGAAAUGGGAUCCCAGUUGACCUUUGGAUAUAACAAUUAAUUGGGCUCAUUAAUUAGUUGAGGUGUGCCAUAUUAGCCAAAUGUAUAUUUUAUGACCCUCAAAAGAGUAAUUCGAUUAUCUAUUGAGAUUAGAAUUCGAGGUGCGCCAUUAGCGAAUUUUCCAUGGCCCUCGCAAAGUUGAAGUGCGGAGUUGCUUUAGGCGCGUUAUUUUAAUAAUUUACCUUUCUAAACUCGGGUGCACAUUUAUGUGACCCAAAUCCAAAUCUCAACAACAUUAGAUAAAAUGUGUUGCGGACUGCGGGUGUAUUUAUCUGACGUGGUUCAAAACGCGUUUUAUAUGACGUUGAAUCUUCCUAAAAAUAUUAAAUAAAAGCAGUUAUAAUGUUAAAAUUGAACCAUAGGCUAAAACAUGUAUUAAAAUCAAGUAAAUAGGUCAAAUAUAACAGUUGAGCGACCGUGCUAGAACCACGGAAUUCGGGAAUGCCUAACACCUUCUCCCGGGUUAACAGAAUUCCUUAUAUGGAUUUCUGUGUUCGUGGACUGUAAAAUAGAGUCAAUCUUUCCUCGAUUCGGGAUAUGAAACCGGUGACUUGGGACACCAUAAAUUAUCCCAAGUGGCGACUCUGAAUUUUUAAAUAAAUAAUCCCGUUUUGAUUGUCACUUAAAUUGGAAAAACUCCCUUAUACCCCCUUCGAAUGAUAAGAAAAAGGAGGUGUGACAGCUGUGUAUGUCAAUCUAAAUAACUCCGCAUGGUAACCAAUGGUAAUGCGGUAAGACAAUAAUCAAUCAUACAUAUAAGCACGUCCAAAUUAACAAGGUUAGGUACAAUUUAGCUAGAUAGGGUAUCCUCUCUUAGCUUGAAUCUGAUAAGCUUAAUACAAGGUUUCAUAUGUAUGUUAUUCUUCCAUAAAAGUAGCAACUAUUAAAGGAUCUCAUAAUAUCUCAAGAUGUUAUUUAUAUAGCGUUUCGUCCCAUAUAAGAAAAAAAUUCAUAUUGCGAGAUUGCCUAGUCUCUACCUUCUUAAAUGAAUUCUUAGUUGCGUGUCAAUCACAUCCAGUUCUUAAAUAUAUUUUGUUCUAGCAAGUUCUACUUCCACAUAAUAAGCCAGAGUCUCCGUAUGUGAUCUUAUUGCCUUGUUUAAACGGUUAAUCAACCACUUGACAAACCUCUAAACCAAAGGCGUCACAUACCUAGCCAGCUGAUAAAGCCUGGUGUCACAUGCCAGUAUGCCCAUCGUUUGAAUUAAUUUCUUAAGUUUCUAUCAGGUUUGCGCUUUCGACUAUUAAGAAAGAAACAAUUCGUAAAAAGUUUAGUAAGCUUAUUUCUAAGUCAGUUGUGUCGUUCCUAACCACGUCCCUAAGAAUAUGGUUCUAUUCUAUAUAAUCGUCAUGUACUCCAGUCGAUAAGUGGCUAGAUCCACAUGCCUCUCGCUGAAAUAUUAGGGAGCUCAUACUACUUUAAGUGUUUCGCCAAAAACCUCUAAGGAUGAUUAGAGUGUCAGAAACAGUAAACUUUGUGGUUUUAAUUUUUGGAACUCUAUUAAGAAUACAUCUAUGCUCCAGACGAUCUUAGUACAAGAUGCAUAAAGUAAAGCUUUUAUAUUUCAAAUCUAUUAGAUUAUUACCUGUUAUUUUUUUUGCCAUGUCUACCAAUUAUAUCUAUCAAGCUCUCAAUUAUUCUCUACAUGGAGGUAAGUACCUCAAUGAUACUAAUCUCCUAGUUAUGGUGGUGGUAUAGUACUUAAUUCAAGAGUGGACUUUAUUACAUAUCUUAGCGGUAUGGAAUCCCCUCACAGUGGUACAAUGACUUUUUUAUUGGCCUUGUUUGCUACUUCAGUUACUUUUCUUUGCAGAAUUGCUAUCCAAUGCCAGCAUUUUAGUACCCUUGAACCUCUAGCCAAACUCAAUUAUUGAAUGACUGGUCCGCGCUAUACAGGAACAAGAUCAAAAGGUUACAUUCAGUUAUUUGACCCUAAUCGUCACACACGCACAGAUGAAUCAGAAAGAAAAAUAAGAAAUAUCCUAUCACGCCCACGCAGAAUCACGAUUAUGGAAAUGGCCGGCUACAUAACCAUAAGUGAGAUUCUACUACCAACGUGUGUUCCAUUAGUCAAAAGAAUAAUCUGGCUCUGAUACCGACUUUGUCACGACCCAAUUUAGAAUCAUGGCCGAUGCUUAGGAGCAAGUGCCCCCAAGUAAGUCUCAUCGGUAUUUUACAGAAAAUCGGAUCGAAUUUCCCCUAUUUUAGGACUAUCCACAAAUAACCUGUCUCAGAAAACGACAAUAAAACCAACCAAUGUCCAACAAAACAACUCAUAAUCUUUAUCGACUACACAGUCAGAUCUUUAUCACUAUUAAUCUACCACUUGUAAGACCGUGAUACUAAAUUUAUCUCCAAAAUACGAUAAGAAAGUCCGAUCUAACGAACAAGUCGAAAACGAUAAUUUAUACACAUGACACUAUUAAAAUGACCAUGGAGCAACUCUAAGAGUUUUAAAGAAAAGGACAAUAACCAUUAAAUAAACUCUUUACCCACACGAAGGAAUGCGGGGCUCACCAAAAUUGCCAACUCGUACGCUUUAGCUAACAAAAUCCUUGCAUGAUUAAGCUGUUGUCUCUAUAAAAAUAUACCGGGGAGUGAGACGCUAGCUCAGUGAGUAAUAACACUUAACCACAAUAGUUUUUAAUAGGGACAAGUCAGAAAACAUGCCAGUAUAAUCAUCAGAAAAUGUCAUAAGAAUGCCCUUUCGGAAACAAUAAACAAUAAUCAGUCUCGUCAUGUGUUUCUUGUAAUAAAAAUCAACUUAAUAAUUCGGCAAUAAACUCGGUACACACUUUGUCAUAUCAAAGCUUUGUGUUUGGGAGGUUUCCAAGAAAGGAUCAUAUAAUCGGUAUCACUGUGUGGACCCCUUCAUAAAAAGAGUCAAAUAUAACUGUAGGUCCCUACUCGAGGGAAAACAGUAACUGUAUGCUAGUUCUACCUUCCUACUAGCGAGGGUUAUAACUGUAAUCGAUAAUCUGUCAUUACAUGGUGCACCAGGUCUAACGAAGCCGCCGUUAGCUACGAGAUCCUUCAAAGUCUCCUCCCAUUUAUACUUUUCUUUGUAAACAGUAAAUAUUUACAUGAAAGUAUUUUCAAAAUAGUACAGGGCAUUUCAAUUCUUAUCAAAUCAUGUAAUCCAAUUUCGGUAACGGUAAUCAUAUUUCGAGUAAUAGUAAAACAUGUCUAGUAACAGCGAGAACAUCUUAAAUAACUGUAAACAUCUCAAGUAAAUUGUUCGGUACCAUAUCAAGUAAAGGACUUGUUCCACAUGCAAUUUUAAACGUUCGAUAAAAUAUUUUAUUUUUUCAAAAUCAUAUAUAAAUCAUGCAAAUUAUGAAAACACAAAUUGCGGUAACAUUACUACUCACAAUACUCGUGCAGGAAUACCAAACGCGUCACCUCGAGCACUUCGUCCCACUUCUUCAACUGCCUACUUGUAACAAAAUCAAUUUAUGUAUUAACUUCGUGAAGUACCAAAAUAAUUGGUCCAUACUUGUCACCUUUAAUUAAUUUCCCUAUUUUUCAUUCCUCUUAAAUAUGACCAUUGAUUCUCUACUAAGCAAUUUGUUAGGACUUAAAUGAUUAGAAACUAUAAUUCUCUAUUUGUUCUUAUAUUUUUAUUUGAAUCUUUUUCUCAUGUAGUAUUUUACAGGUAUUGUGUCACGACCCAAAAUCCACUAAGGGUCGUGAUGGCGCCGGACACCGCUGUCAGGCAAGCCAACCAAAAUGUACUAGUAUCUUCUCAUUUUAUUUAUUUUGAAAUAAUUUCCUUUAAACAAAUGAAUAAUAAAUAAUAAACUCCACUGAAUAAAUGAGGAUGUCUUUACAAAAUUUAACUACUGAAAAAUCCUGUGAUCCCCCCAGAACCCGGUGUCACAAGUGCAUGAGCAUUUACUAGGGAACGAAAUAAAAUACAGUAACUGUCUAGAAUACAAGUGGACAGAAAUGAAAAUACAAUACAAUACUGUGAAAGAGACUUGCUGGCCGUGGGUCGUCUCGGAAAUGCAGCUCACCUAAGUCUCCGUAUCAACCAUGUUGCUACGCUCACUAGGCCACUAAAGAUGCAUGUGCAUGUGCAACAAAUAAUGCACAGAAGUGUAGUAUGAGUAUGAAAACAACAUGUACCCAAUGAGUAUCCCGUCUAAUCUCGAAGAAGUAGAGACGAGAGGUCGACUUCGACACUUACUAGUGGUCCAAUAAUGAUAUAUUAUUAAUGCGAAUAAUCAUGGAUUUAUUAAGAAUGACAUUAAUUUCAAAUAAGUCACGAACAGGUAAAAGUUUCUUUUUAUAUUAAAGGUCUCCGGAUUCAUAAUCCAUUAGUUUUCAAUUAUAUCAAGUCGGGGAGAUCAAAUAUCAAUAUCAAUAAAUCUCAAGGCAAAUAAUACAAGCAUGCGCAAAUCAUGUCGAGGUCGUACGACCCGAUCCAACAAUAUUUAAACUGUGCACUGCCGAGGGUCGAAUGGCACGAACCAUUGAUGCAUCUAUCACUCUGCUCGCGAAUCGUACAUGUGACGCAGUCAAAUAUAAAUAAACACAAUAAUCAGUCAAUCAAGAAUUCAUCAAGGAAAUUAUCAAAGGAAAAGCCAAUUCUCUUUUAACAAUUCAAGAAAAUGAAGUUUAAUCUUUUUAGAAAUUCAUUUACUAAUUCGAUAUGAUUUAAGCAAUUCAAAUUGUCAAUAAUAUUAUAAAUAUUCCAAGUAUAGCAUGCUUUUGGGUCCUAGACUACCCGGACAAUAACAUAAUAGUAGCUACGCACGGACUCUCGUCACCUCGUGCGCACGUAGCCCCCACAAAUAGGAGCACAUAACCAAUUACCUCACUUAUGGGGACAAUUCCCUCGUGCGCACGCGGUCAAUUACUCAUUACAAUCCAAUUUAUAAUAAUUCCUAACCCCGAUCUAGAAGUUGACAAAAAUGCCCUCGGGCCCACGUGCCUGGAUUCCGAAUUUUUUUGAAGAUAAGGUUUACCCAUGAACUCAUGGACUCAAAUAUAUAAUUUUCUCUUAAUUCCAUACGCAAAAUCGUGGUCAAAUUCCAAGAAUAUCAAUUUUCUAGGUUUUCCCUCAAACCCCACAUUUUCUACAAAUUUUCAUGUCAAUAUCCCUAUAUAAUCAUGUAUUUAACUCAAAACUAGCAUAAAUUACUUACAUCAUGCUUGAUGGUGAAAAUGGCACCUCAAAGUGAUCCAAAAUCAGCUCCAAUGGAAGAAAAAUGAGGUUGAAAUGAACCCAAUCCCCGAUUUAAAAGAACCUCACUGCCUCCAGAAUUUCCGCACCUGCGGUCCCUCGACCGCUUCUGCGGUUCCGCAGGUGCGACUCUAUCGCUUCUGCGGUUUCCUCUAGGCUACCCUUUUCUGCUUCUGCGCCUCGUCCACUGCAGGUGCGGUCCCUCUUCUGCGGCUCCAUGACCGCAUCUGCGGUCUCUUCACUUCUGGCCAAAACUGCGUUUGCAGCUCCGCACCUGCUGCCCAAAUUUCGCAGGUGCGGUUAUAUCAACAACCAGCAACUUCAGCCCUUUCAAAAGUCCCAUUUUUGAUUCGUUAACCACCGGGAAUCCACCCGAGUCUCUCGGGACCCCAACCAGUCCCAAAACACAUUACGGACUUGCUCGAGGCCUCAAAUCAUAACAAACAACGCUAAAACCACGAAUCGACCUCCAAUCCAAACUUUAUGAACUGUAGAACUUUAAACUUCUACUCUCGAUGUUUAAACCUAUCAAAUCACAUCCGAUUGACCCCUAAUUUUUCACACAAGUCAUAUUUGACGUUACGGACCUACUCCAACUUCUGGAAUCAGAUUCCGACCCCGAUAUCAAAAAGUCCACUUUCGGUCAAACUUCUCAAAAUCUUCAAAUUUCUAUCUUUAGCCAAAUGACUCCAAAAUGACCCACGGACCUCCGAAUUCACUUCUGAUCGCUCUCCCAACACCAGAAUCACCAUACAGAGCUACUCCUAGACUUGGAAUCCUAAACGGACAUCGGUAACACUAAAAUGUACUUCAACCCAAACUUAUGAAAUUUCUUCCAAAAUGCUAACUUGCACAAUAUGUGCCGAAACGUUCCCGGGCCUUCCAAAACCAGAUCCGGACAUACACCAAAGUCUGAAAUUAUCAUACAAACCUGCUGGAGCCUUUGAAUCCCAAUUUCGAGGUUGUUUACUCAAAAACCCAACAUUAGCUAAUUCUUUCAGCUUAAAGCUUCCAAAAUGAGAAUUCUCUUUCCAAAUCAACUCUGAAUUUCCCGGAAUUCAAUUCCGACCGUGCGUUCAAGUCAUAAGACCUGAAGUGAAGCUGCUCAUAGCCUCAAACUGCUGAACGACGUGCUAGAGCUCAAAACGACCGGUCGGGUCGUUACAUUCUCUCACACUUAAACAUACGUUCGUCCUCAAACGUGUUGAUAACUACACUGAAGUAGUCUGAAAUCACUGUUUAACACCUCAUGCACCUACCCGUUCUACCACAACUCAACUGGGCGCCGUAUCUUGGUCAAUCUGAAGAUAUCCCUUUUCACUUAAGCAAAUAAGCCUUUGAGCCCAAUUCCAUCAUCCAGAAUUCUCUGCCAGGACUGUUUCCAACAUACGAUCACCAUAUCAAUCACUACACACUGUACCCAAACAUGACUAUAUACCUUUGCUGAAUUCACACCUUGCACCACUUUACUCACAGGACCACAAUACAUUUUCUGAUCAAAUUAGUCGAAAUUCCACGAAUCUGAUGCUCCUAUUGCACCUCAUGGCCUACAUAGGUCUUGCUCUAACUCUAACAUUACCGCCACGACGGAAGAGAUGUGUAGAACUUCAUGACCAACUGCCGAAUCAAUAAAUAAUUGAGUCUAUACUCCUGGCAAGAACCAUCACCUCAUCCUGAACUAAAUAAUGGUCUUAGCCCCUUAAUAUACUUCAUAUAACUAGAUUGCACUAAUCCUAAAUCCAAUGAUCUCGUCUCACCUAGUACGGACUACUUAGGCAAUAAGACACCUCGGACAUGAUCAAAAGUCUCAUAUGAUCCCACAAUGUGCCAAUAGGCUACCAAUUCGAACGCGAUACAAAAGGAAAAUGAACUCUGAAAAAGAAAUCCAAUUACCCCGCUCGUAAAUCAUACAUGCGAUGCGGUCAUCAUAAUUGAACUGACACCCCGCUCGUGAAUCAUACAUGCGACUCGGGUACACAGAUAAUAUGAGUUUUGCGUAGAGACAUAGGAAACAAAACACAUAAAAACAGAUAUAGGGAACUAUACUCGACAUCACACUAUUGCGGCGGACAAUCCGAUCCAAAUAACAUACCCAUCGCGGCGUGCCACCCGAUCCACACAUAGAAUUCACAUAAGGAGAUAUACAUCGAGCUAAAUUUCUCAUUGCAAUAAGAUACCAAAUAUCGAUCAUAAGCACGCUAAGUGCAUAAUACCAUCCCUAGGGAGAAAAAUAGCACAAUAAGCUACAAAACUCAAGUACAACUGAGGUGCGAUAUACGAUCUGAAUCUCAAGAGCCAACCUGCUCAUAUAACAUCAUUACUAUGCGGAACCUCAACACAUAAAAAAUUCACCAAGCCGUUUCGCAACUCGCAUAGAGCAAUACAUCAUUACAUGAAAUAGCUGACGACGAAAUAACACCCCGACUACUCUUCCAUAAGAGGCGCAUUACUGAAAUGAACACAUAUGGCCUGAUAUAGAGCCCAUAUUCACGUUUAAAUCCAUCCACAAACCUUAAGUUGAUCCUAAUCAUACCAAACUAGGUUAAUAACCUUUAAAAGGUCCAUCCUAACUCCCCUUUUCUUAUAACACACAAGAACAAUCAUCAUAAUCGGAGUAAUCCUCCACAGUCCACAACCCAAUAGACCGAGUGCCCUCCAGGUAUCAAUUCUCAAUUUAACGACAUCACCACAAUCUUCAUGCUUGGCUUAACUCCUCAAUCAAUCAAGUGACUACAUGCCACACUUAUACCCCCUCCCUAUGAGGCACGCUCCCACAACCUUCCGUAAUAGAUAACAAGUCGGUACAUCCAAACCACCGGCCGCACUAAUGCUGAAAAUCGAUCAAGAAUCCUUAACCAGGAUGCAAAGCCUUUUCCACAAAACACUGAUCUCAGGUGACGUUGAAGACAAUACCAACUUACUUUAAAUAUCCAAACCCCUUUCCUGCUCAUCCGAGCUCGUGACAUCCUUGGCAACACUGAACUGCAACCUUAAUCCUCACUGCAAACUCCAUGCCACUCACUGCACCCAACCUCAGGAGAACCAUAGCAACACACAGGUGAAUUCUCAUAACCGUAGAAUAUGCAAAUCUCUAAGUUGUGGUCUAAGCCACCAUAGCCCUUUUGGGAUCCGCCUACACAUAACAGGCCAUAAUGGUAGAAUACUUCUAAAUAACAUCAAUUACGGCGGCCGACAAGCCUCACACGUACCAUCACAAAUCACUUGCAUAACUUGAUCACGCUGAAGGAAGUGAUCACUACCACCAAUAUGCCAAUUCAACUAUGGCUAACCAAUCUAUCUUCUUCCAAUUUAUCCUUGAUUUCCUUAGAAAUAAUAAUAACUCCAUUCAACACAUAACACACUCCAUCCGCACUCAUCCUGAGUGACCUUGAAUCACGAGACCAUGCUAUCUCAAAUCCCACAAACCAUUUCAUAUUUCCCAAAAGAUGCACUGCAAGUCAAACAUCAUAGAACAUUCUGGGUUUCUUCUCAUAAGUUGCUACAAAAGCUUGAUUCUUAACCGUACCUACAGGCUCGAAAUCAUUAGGCACCACACUUUACCCCUUUGAAUCCACUAGGAUCGUUGUUGAGAGCCACCCGCUCUGACUUGGCCUCGAAUAUAAUCAACUCCAUGAAUCUUCUAUCACAUGAAUACCCUCUCAGCGAAGCACCCGGCAGAAUCACUUCCCUUUAAACCCGCUUCUAUACAAGACAUAAAUCCUAAAUCCUUCCCCAAGUCUGAACAUGAGCCAAUAAGGCCAACUAUAGCACACCUUUAAUAAUUCUUUUGCUCAAAUUACCACUUAUGUUCUUUUCCCGCAGCUGAAAUAACCCAUCAAUAUGCUAAUAACCAGAAACCUCGCAAGUAGUUAACCAUGCAACCCAAUAAUAGGCAGUGGGACUCUCACACUUAGCUCGAAGCCACUAUUACACAACUCUAGAAUUCACCAGGAUUCGUAAUCUCUUAUUGACAUAACCUUACGCAAUCAACCGCCAAAAUUCUCGGAAUCUUUCUGUAAGACCCCUUUUUUAUACUAUGCAUCAUCAACCACAUUCGCACGACCGAUCUCUUCGCUAUAUAACCAAUAGAAUUCAUCGCAGAAGCCUCUCCAACCACGCAACCGCUAACCUGCUCACAGGGAAUAACCCACAUGUGGAAAUCACUUCCCAACAUCUUCCAACGCUGCUGUAUGGGGUAUAAUCACUAUGACAUCAAUAACCCAUCCUGAGUCCGAGCUCACUCUCUAGCUGCACAAGUCCAUUCACCCCUCUUGGACAUUAAUUAAAUGUGCGGUAACAUCUUUCCAAUUCAAACUUAUGUUGUAUCCUUCUUCAUUUCAAGCAGCUCCUUUUCGUUAUAUCAAAUCUUCUGCCGCAUAAUGGCCCAUGCUUCAAAUUAAAUCUGUAGGUCCCAAUCACUAAUCUCUAAAAUUUCCAAAUCAUUCCCAACUCUCCGUAAGGUGCGUAGUCAUCCUACCACAAAGCCCAUAUGCAACUCCGCUACUCUCCCACUUUGGCGGAACUCACCCUUUUAAUCGACUACUCGACCUUUGCUUCUUAUACCUGGCCUUCUAGAAAUUUUAACCACCACCUGACACUCCCUACAUGUCCUUCCUAAUCCUUUGCUUCUCAGUUGUUUCCUUAAAUAAAAUCCAUCUUUGUAGCACUUGAACCCACGAAUCGCUACUAACUUUAAACCUUUUCGAAGAACAUCUUUCUCGAGCCGUCAACAUUAGGAACACCAAUUCAAUCCUGAACCACUACACCCCGCAAUAUCUAACAGUCGUUUCUCCAAUGUUAUUUCACAAUAUCUUACCCCAAGGUGAAUUGCAGAAGACCAUAACACCGGCGAACUUAACACAUACAAUCGAGGACGACGACAUUACAUCGCAAAUAAAAAUUCCACCACGCUCGCAAAUACGAAGUCUCAUUACAUCAUCAACCCAAAUCUAAACAUUCUUAGUCCGAUUACCUUUCCCCUGUCGGGAAUAAAGUACCGUAUCUCUAGAUCUUGCAUUGAGUAAACCUUCAUUCAAGUCAUUCACUGCCCCUGACGCGUAGGCAAACAUCCUACCAUCAUAUCAAUACUGCGAAACAAUCAUUCAUAGCAUCAUGGCAACUUGUUCCUAGCCUCAGAGCUCUCAGAAGUACCGUUACUGAGAUGAAACAAUAGAAUAUCCUCCCACAAGGUGACAAUAAUAACUCAGACAACCCCGCAAGGUGAAACACCCCGCACCACAUUCGUAGUGCCAUUACAAUUCUUCAAUUCUCGAUUUAUAACCAGCUGUUUGCGUCACAUAUGAUUGAGUAGGAAGGAAACAAGGGCAUAAGCCUUAAGGAAUCAAAUCGCACGAUGAGGAAUCAAGAAGGGAAGUCCUCAUAACAGCCCUGUAGCCUCCCGAAGAUAAGUACAGACGUCUCCGUACCUAUCCACGAGACUCUACUAGACUUGCUCAUGACUCGUGAGACCUAAGGGAACCUAGUGCUCUGAUACCAUGUUGUCAUGACCCAAAAUCCACUAAGGGUCGUGAUGGCGCCGGACACCGCUGUUAGGCAAGCCAACCAAAAUUUACUAGCAUUUUCUCCUUUUAUUUGUUUUGAAAUCAUUUCCUUUAAACAAAUGAAUAAUACACAAUAAACUCCACUGAAUAAAUGAGGAUGUCUUUACAAAAUUUAACUACUAAAAAAUCCCGUGACCCCCCCCCCCAAGAACUCGGUGUCACAAGUGCAUGAGCAUUUACUAGGCAAUGAAAUAAAAUAUAGUAACUGUCUGGAAUACAAGUGGAAAAAAAUAAAAAUACAAUACAAUACUUUGAAAGAGACUUACUGGCUGCGGGUUGUCUCGGAAAUGCAACUCAUCUAAGUCUCCGUAUCAACCAUCCUGCUACGCUUAAUAGGCCACUAAAGAUGCAUGUGCCUAUGCAACAAAAAAUGCACAGAAGUGUAGUAUGAGUACGAAAACAACGUGUACCCAAUGAGUAUCCCGUCUAAUCUCGAAGAAGUAAAUACCAGAGGUCGACUUCGACACUUACUAGUGGUCCAAUAAUGAUAUAUUAUUAAUACAAACAAUCAUGGAUUUAUUAAGAAUGACAGUAAUUUUAAAUAAGUCACGAACAGGUAAAAGUUCCUUUUUAUAUUAAAGGUCUCCGGAUUCAUAAUCCAUUAGCUUUCAAUUAUCUCAAGUCGGGGAGAGCAAAUAUAAUUAUCAAUAAAUCUCAAGGCAAGCAAUACAAGCAUGUGCAAAUCAUGUUGAGGUCGUACAGCCCGAUCCUAAAAUAUUUAAACUGUCACUGCCGAGGGUCGAAUAGCACGAACCAUAGAUGCAUCUAUUACCCCGCUCACGAAUCAUACAUGCGACGUGGUCAAAUAUAAAUAAACACAAUAAUCAUUUAAUCAAGAAAUCAUCAAGGAACAAUAAUCCAAGGAAAAGCCAAUUUUCUUUUAACAAUUCAAGAAAAUGAAGUUUAAUCUUUUUAGAAAUUCAUUUACUAAUUCGAUGUGAUUUAAGCAAUUCAAAUUGUCAAUAAUAUUACAAAUAUUCCAAGUAUAGCAUGCUUUUGGGUCCUAGACUACCCGGACAAUAACAUAAUAGUAGCUACGCACGGACGCUCGUCACCUCGUGCGCACAUAGCCCCCACAAAUAGGAGCACAUAACCAAUUACCUCACCUAUGGGGACAAUUCCCUCACCUAUGCGGACAAUUCCCUCUUACUAGGUUAGAAAAGAGACUCACCUUGCUCCGAAGAUCCAUAACCGACAUUUCACGCUCUUCCGAAGACUCGAAUCGAUGCACAAUGCUCCCAAAACUAGCCAAUAAUGAUGCAAAUCCAUUAAUAUAUGUUCAAUUACUUAUUACAAUCCAAUUUAUAAUAAUUUUUAACCCUGAUCGAGAAGUUGACAAAAACUCCCUCGGGCCCACGUGCCCGGAUUCCGAAAUUUUUUGAAGAUAAGGUUUACCAUGAAAUCACGAACUCAUAUAUAUGAUUUUCUCUUAAUUCCAUACCCAAAAUCGUUGUCAAAUUCCAAGAAUAACAAUUUUCUAGGUUUUCCCUCAAACCCCAAGUUUUCUAUAUAUUUCUAUGUCCAAAUCCAUAUAUAAUCAUGUAUUUAACUCAAAACUAACAUAAAUUACUUACCUCAUGCUUGGUGGUGAAAAUUGAUCCUCAAAGUUGCUCCAAAAUCAUCUCCAAUGGAAGAAAAAUGGGGUUGAAAUGAACCCAACCCCCUCCGCACCUGCGGUCCCUCGACCGCUUCUGCGGUUCCGCAGGUGCGAGCCACUCUACCGCUUCUGUGGUUUCCUACAUGAUCCCCUUUUCUGCUUCUGCACCUCAUCCACCGUAGGUGUGGUCCUGCUUUUGCGGCUCCAUGACCGCAUCUGCGGCCCAAACUUUGCAGGUGCGGUUAUAUCAACAACCAGAAAUGUCAGCCCUUUCAAAAAUCCCAUUUUUGAUCCGUUAACCACCCAGAAUCCACCCGAGGUCCUCAGGACCCCAACCAAUCAUACCAACCAGUCACAAAACACAUUAUGGACUUGCUCGAGGCCUCAAAUCAUAGCAAACAAUGCUAAAACCACGAAUCGACCUCCAAUUCAAGCUUUAUGAACUUUAGAACUUCAAACUUCUACUCUCGUUGUUUAAAACUAUCAAAUCACAUCCGAUUGACCCCAAAUUUUGUACACAAGUCAUAUUUGAUGUUAUAGACCUACUCCAACUUCCAGAAUUGAAUUUCGACCCCGAUAUCAAAAAGUUCACUUCCGGUCAAACUUCUCAAAAACCUUCAAAUUUCUAUCUUUAGCCAAAUGACUCCAAAAUGACCCACAGACCUCCGAAUUCACUUAUGAUCGCGCUCCCAACACAAAAAUCACCAUAUGGAGCUACUCCCAGAAUCGGAAUCCCAAACAUAUAUCGAUAACACUGAAAUGCACUUCAACCCAAACUUACGAAAUUUCUUCCAAAAUGCUAACUUCCACAAUAGGUGCCGAAACGUUACCGGGCCUUCCAAAACCCGAUCCGGACAUACGCCCAAGUCCAAAAUCAUUAUACAAACCUACUGGAACCUUCGAAUCCCAAUUCCGAGGUCGUUUACUCAAAAAUCCAACCUUAGCUAAUUCUUUCAGCUUAAAGCUUCUGAAAUGAGAAUUCUCUUUCCAAAUCAACUCCGAACUUUCCAGAAUUCAAUUCCGACCGUGAGCUCAAGUAAUAAUACCUGAAGUGAAGUUGCUCAUGGCCUCAAACUGCUGAACAAUGUGCUCGAGCUCAAAACGACCAGUCGGGUCGUUACAUAUUGCUAACAUGUACAUUAGUGUUCUUGGUAUAACUAAUAGAAUAUAUUAUUUUUCAAUCUUCAUAGGGAAUUCAUGAUUAUGCUAAAUAAAAGGAAUACCUUAAGUUUCUUCUUUCUUUCCAUUACAGUGAUAUACCAAACUAAAUCUUAACAUAGUAAUUUAUCUCAAAUCUUGUAAAGAUUAAUACAUAUACCCAUUUAGGUAAAAACAAUACCACUAAACUGUGUUUUUUUCUCUUUACAUAUGAUUCUUUUCUACUCUAAGCAAUGAGCCAAAACUAGAAAAAAGACAUUAAUUUUCCAAAAUAAUUCUCUUAAUUAUUUAAUAUUUCAGUACCCAAUUUAAUGUUCAUAAAUCAGAAAAUAAGAGCAAGAACAUUAUCGAGAACUUACUUCCUUAGUCGAAAGAGAUCUGAAAUCAUAAGAGCUUCUUACUUCUCUAUUUCACUUGUCUGAGUAUGCUUAGAUUGCUUGUUUGAUAAAAGAAAAAUCCUAUUGCACAAAACUCUUGGUUGCUUUCUCUAAUUCGCAGGAGCUCUAAAGCUCUGUUGAAGUUUUUCCCAAUUUUUGAUUCACUAAUUUCACUCCUAAAAGAUUAAGGUCCCUUAUCCCCCUUUUAUUUUGUUUAUUUUCCCUUGUCUGAUGCAAUUCCCCUUUUUGUGGGCUAAUGCCCACUUUGUAUUCCUUUUUUAAUGUUAGUUACUUAAAUGCCCUUAUUUAAUAUGGAGUAUUACACCAGCCUAGCCGAUUGCAGCUGCUCAGGACUAUGUAGCUUCUGCCAUGCCAGAGGACGAGCAGCGUAGGUUGGAGAGGUUUGGUACACUUCAGCCUCCGACUUUCAGUGGUGCAGAGGGCGAGGGUGCCCAGGGUCUUGGAUAAGCGUUAGAGGAUUCUUCGCACAACGGGUAUUGUGGAGACUAGCGAGGUCGCUUUCACUACUUUUCAGUUUUCUGGAGCUGCCUUCACUUGGUGAGAGGCUUAUGAGAGGCGUAGGCCUGUUGGUGCAGCACCCCUUACCUAGUAGUAGUUCUCCGUUCUCUUUCUAGAGAAGUAUGUACCGCAGUCUCGCAGAGAGGAGCUGCGCAAAUAGUUUGAGUGGUUGCAUCAUGGAGAGAUGACUGUGGCACAGUAUGAGAUGAGGUUUUCCAAGUUAGCUAGUCAUGCUAUUUGGUUGGUUCCAAUAGAUAGAGAGAGGAUUGGGAGGUUUGUGGAUGGCCUCACUUAUCAGCUUCGUAUUCUAAUGACUAGGGAGAGGGUGUCUGGUGCUACUUUUGAGGAGGUUGUUGACAUCGCUCGUGAGAUUGAGUCAGUUCGUCGCUAGGAGCGAGAUGAGAGGGAGGCCAAGAGGCCUCGAGGAUCUGGUUAUUAUGGUGGUGCUCCUUCGAGAGGUCAGUUUCAGCACAGCAGAGGCCGUCCAUUCAGGCAUGCUCUGCCAGCUCGCCCAGGUUAUCAUGGGGCGUCAUCAGGUUAUGGUUCUCACAGUUCUCAUCAAGGCCAGUCAUUACUUAGUGCCCUUCCAGCUUAGAGUUCGUCCUGUGCUCUAUCAGUUCAGGGCUCUUCUAUGCAGGGUGCAUCUUCUAGCCAUUCCGGUAUUAGGGAUUCCCUUCAGUCCCCAUCUCCAGCACCCGAGAGUUGCUAUGAGUGUAGAGAGAUGGGUCAUAUAUGGAGGCAGUGUCCUCAUCGUCGUGCAAUUUUAUCUCAGUAGAGGGGCAACCAUCGGCUUCAGCAUCAGUUACUUCACUACCACCACCCAUCCAUCUAGAGGUAGAGGUCAGUCAGCUAGGAGUUGCCCUAGAGGGGGAGGUCGUUCAUGUGACUUGCUUCAGCAGAUGGAUAUUCUAGAGUGGAAGUGGGAGCGGAUCACCAUGGACUUUGUAGUUGGGCUCCUAUGGACUUUGAAGAAGUUCAACGCUAUUUGGGUGAUUGUGGAUCGGCUGACCAAAUCCGCGCACUUCAUUCUUGUGUGUACCACCUAUUCUUCAGAGCGGUUGGCAGAGAUCUAUAUCCAGGAGAUUGUUCGUUUGCAUGGUAUCCCAGUUUCCAUCAUUUCAGAUAGGGGCACUCAGUAUACUUUGCAGUUUUGGAGGUCUGUGCAGUGAGAGUUGGGUACUAAGGUUGAGUUGAGCACGACUUUUCACCCUUUGACGGACGGACAAUCCGAGUGCACUAUUUAGAUAUUGGAGGACAUGUUGUGUGCUUGUGUCAUUGAUUUCGGAGGGUCAUGGGAUGAGUUUCUACCACUUGCAUAGUUUUCUUAUAACAAUAACUACCAAUCGAGUAUUCAGAUGGCUCCAUAUGAGGCUUUGUAUGGGAGGCGGUGUAGAUCUCCAAUUGGUUGGUUUGAGUUGGAUGAGGCUAGGCUAUUGGGGACAGACUUGGUGUAGGAUGCUUUAGAAAAGGUGAAGGUAAUUCAGGAGAGGCUUCAUACAGCACAGUCGAGACAAAAGAGUUAUGCUGGCAGAAAGGUUCGAGAUGUGUCCUACAUGAUUAGUGAGAAGGCUCUAUUGAAAGUUUCGCCCAUGAAGGGUGUUAUGAGAUUUGGGAAGAAGGGUAAAUUGAGUCCUCAGUUCAUUGGACCUUUUGAGGUGCUUCGGAGGAUUGGGGAGGUGGCUUAUGAGGUUGCUUUGUCACCCAGCUUGUCAACUGUGCAUCCGGUAUUUCAUGUUUCUAUGCUCCAGAAGUAUAUUGGAGAUCCAUCUCAUGUUUUGGAUUUCAGCACGGUUCAGUUAGAUGGUGAUUUGACUUAUGAUGUGGAGCCAACAACUAUUUUGGAGCGUCAGGUUCGAAAGUUGGGAUCAAAGGAUAUAACUUCAGUGAAAGUGCAGUAGAGAGGUCGGCCCGUGGAGGAGGCUAUCUGGGAGACUGAGCGGGAGAUGUGGAGCAGAUAUCCUCACCUGUUUGAGGCUUCAUAUAUGUUUCUUGACUCGUUCGAGGACGAACGUUUGUUUAAGAGGGGGAGGAUGUAAUGACCUGAUCGGUCAUUUCAUGAUUUACCGCUCCGUUUCCUUAAUUUCUGCUUCUUAUUACUUUGUUUACUGAUUCUAUGUGUGAUCGGAUUGGUUGGCUCGGGCUCGGAGAGGUUUUUGUAAGGUUUGAGACACUUAGUCUCUUUUGAGAAAGCUUAAGUUGGAAAAGUCAACCGGAUGUUGGCUUAUGUGUUAAUGGGCUUGGAUGUGAGUUCCGAUGAUUUGGAUAGCUUCGGGAGGUGAUUUGGGACUUAGUAGCGUGAUCGGAAUGUUUUUUGGAGGUCCGGAGUAGAUUUAGGCUUGAAUUGGCGAAAUUAAAAUUUGGCGUUUUCCGGUUGGUAGGUGAGAUUUUGAUAUAGAGGUCGGAAUGAAAUUUCGGGAGUUGCAGUAGUUCCGUUGUGUCAUUUGUGAUAUGUGUGCCCAAUGUAUGGGCUUCGGGAGUUGAUUCUGGAAGAGGCCCAUAGCUCGCGGUAUUCCAUUCAUCCGGGUGCCGCGAAGAUGUAUCAGGAUCUGAGACAACAUUAUUGGUGAAGGAGAAUGAAGAAGGAUAUUGUGGGAUUUGUAGCUCGGUGUCUCAAUUGUCAACAGGUGAAAUAUAAGCAUCAGAGACCAGGUCGGGGUUUAGGGUCAUGACAGCAGGACACUACGAGGUGGGUAGUCCCGGAACAGAACAAUCUUGUGUCAUAAGAAAAGCUAUUAUCCAAAUCGAUUUUUUUUUGAAGAAACUAACUAAUCAAAACAGAACAAAUCACCACCAAAGGAUAUGGUACAGUGGAUGGGACUUCUCCUCCCUUUACCAGAGGUCUCGAGUUCGAGCCCUUUGUAUGGAAAAAUCUUUGAUAGGGAGCGCUUCCCCCGAAUGGGGCCCUACGCGGUGCGAAUUCGGAUAUAGUUGGGCUUCAAUAUGGGUACCGGACAUCGGGUGGUAAACCAAAAAAAUAGAACAAAUAAAAAAAGGAAAAACGGGAUAAGGAAUUUAAAGAAAAGGGCCGAAGCCCAUUUGAAAUACAUCUGCCAAAAAGGGUAAAAAUUACACGGGGUGCCCUAUUAGGUCGCCACCAUUUAACCUAUACCCAUUUUUUAAAAAACUUUUAACUUGUACCCAAUUUUUAAACAACUUCAGCCAUUUUCUCAUCCUCCUCCUUCUCCUUCAUUUUCUUCUUCUAUUAACAACUGAAAGACACUAUGAUUAAUUCUAAAAUACUACCACCAUUCCAUAUGUUUGACCAAUUAGUGUACAUGUUCCUCCUCCUGAUUCAUAACUGGCGUAUCACAUUAAGUCAGCAUUUGUGGCAUCGAGUUCUUUUUGGAAGUGAAUAACUUGCUUUUGAAGAACUGAAAUUGCUCCAACACAGCCAUAGACUGGAUCUUUUAAGCGUGCCUCGGCUUCAUAAGUGAGAGAAUUGACAACAUCUUCUCUCUGAUGUGGUUGGAUGUCAUUUAGGAGCUUACUUACAUUAUUGGCACCAAAUACUUUGUGUACGGUUGUGAACUCUAUUGGCUCCUCUAGAGGGAAAUAAGGAGCAAAAAUGCAACUUAGCAAGCAUUGUUUUCUCAAUAAUUUGCAGGCAGCGUAUGGAGGGUUGGAGUAACUGCUGGAAGAAGAUAUCUUGCUUACAAAAAGAACACUUAUCCAGGACAAAAAAAAAUUCAGCUUAUAUAGUGCUAAAGUUUUUACAAAUGAACUAAAUAACUUCAGCAUCUUCUGCUGAAGUUUUUGAAAAAGCUUAUCCAGGACCAAAAAAACUUCAGCUUAUUUAGUGCUGAAGUUUUUACAAAUGAACUAAAUAACUUCAACAUCUUCUGCUGAAGUUUUUGAAAAAACUUUAUGACAAAACUAAUGAAUCCAGGACAAAACAAUUUCAGCUAUUUUAGUGCUGAAAUUUUUAAAAAUGAACUAAAUAACUUCAGCAUCUUAUCCAGGACAAAAAAACUUCAUCAUUACCUUUGCUACUUCAGGCCCGUCUACUAGAAUGCUAAAGUUUUACGUGAUUGCCUUUGCUACUUCAGCCUCGUAUGCUGAAGUUACGCGAAAAAGUGGGUACGCUUGCAAUUAUUUUUGCAAAGCGGGAACAAGUUAAAACGUGACUCAAAAAGCGGGUAUAGAUGCAAAUCUCCCAAAGAAAGGGGAAAAGGGAAAAAGGGGGACGUAGCUUGCUGCUAAGACAAACCGAAGAAAGGAAGGGUUUCAGAAAAAGAAAAAAAAUCCCUUAGAAAAAAAGGAAGAAAGCAUCGAACAGGAAAAACAAAAGAAAGUGAGUCUCGGGUGUUUUUUUAGCGCCGAAGAUCGUGUUUUAUCUAUUCUUUGGCAUACAAUUCCUUGGAUUUCAGCAGUACACUCCAGGUAGUUACAUGUACUUCUUCCUCUUUUAAGACAAUGGAAUUUUAUAUACAUAAUUCUGAUAGGACCACGUAGAUAUAAUUUUGGAAUUGUAUUAAGAAUUUGAAAAAUAAAGUUAAGAAAAUUGGGAGAAAUUCAUGAGACUUUUCUGUGAAUUAACUGGGUAUAUCAUAUGAAUAGGCUGUAUUUAAUUUGAAGUAUUCUCAAAUACCAAUAGCGUGAGUAAGUAUAAAUUGACGAACUAAGAGUAAAAUAUGAAAUUCAAGAGUUGGGUAUUCUAAAUUAGCUAAAACAAGGAAAUUAACAUGAGAUCAUAUUAUGUAAUUAUAAAUUGAUUGGAGGAAGUUGUACGAAUUGCUCGAGGUGAAACAUUUGGUAUUUCUGCACAAGUACUGUGAGUAGCAACCUUACUGCAAUUUGUAUUUUCAUAACUUACAUGAUUUGCACAUGCUUUUUAAUAUGAAUAUGUUACCGAUUAUUUUGAGUGUCAUAUGGGAUAAGCCUUUUACUCGAUAUGAUACCGAAAUAGUUAUUUCAGAUGGUUACCAUUGUUUUAAAUAUUCUUGUUUUCACUUGAUAUGUUUUACCGUUACUUGAAUUUACUACUAUCGAAAUGAAAUUACAUGAUUUGAUAAGAACUGAAAUGCCCUAUAUUGUUUUAAAAUAUUUUCUUAUGAGUAUAUACGGAUUACACAGACAAGUAUAAAUGGGAGUAGACUUUGAAGGAUCCCGUAGCUUACAACGGGUUCGUUAGACCUGGUGCACCUUGUAAUUACCGAUUACCGCUACAGGCCUCGCUAGUGGGAGGUAGUGCUAGCAUACCGUUACUGAUUUCCCUAGAGUAGGAACUAUCGCUAUAUUUGACUUCUUGCGAAGAAGUCCAUAGUUAUAUAGAUUACAUGAUCCGUUCAUUGAAACCUUCCAAAUAAGAAUAUGAUAUUAUACAUUGGUUACCAAGCUUAUUACUGAUUUUUCAAUUGUAUUAUACUACAAGAAAAAAUGAUAAGAACGAAAAUUAUUUAUUAUUUUUGAAAGGGCAAUUUUAUGAUAUUUUCUAUUUAAUAUACUUGCAUGUUUUCUGACUUGUCCCCUGUAAAAACGGUUAUUGAUUAAGUGUUAUUACUCACUGAGCUAGCGACUCACUCCCUGCUAUUUUUUUUUACAGAGACAACAGUUGACGCAUGCGAGGAUUUCGUUAAUUAGAGCGCACAUGUUGAUAAUUCUUGGUGGCCUCGCACAUGUUCGUGUGAGCAGAGAUUUUAUUUAUUGUUAUGGUCUUUUCUUUGAAAUCUUAGAGUCGCUUCAUAGUUAUUCUUUCAGUAUCAUGAGUAUUCUUUCGUUGUUAUAGACUUAUGAUGAGUAUUGCACUUUCUUAUCGAAAUUGGAUAUAAAUUAGUAUUUCUGGUUGUUAGUGGGUUGGUUAGUAUUGGUG
rnacentral:lncRNA from 1 species